ensembl:lncRNA
UGAGGAACAGGUGUGUGUAAUGAUAGGAAGUAUGGGGUGAUGUGAUGAGGAACAGGUGUGUGUAAUGAUGGGAAGUAUGGGGUGAUGAACAGGUGUGUGUAAUAGUGGAAAGCUCCUUGAAAGUGUAUAUCCUUUGAUCGUUGCAAACUGGUCGAUAAUGUCUCUUAUUUUACCUUGUACAUCAUCAAAAUGAAAGCAAAGUUCUAAUGGAUUUAUUUUUGAAUAAUUUAAGUUUUGUGUAAUUUUCAUUUUGUACAUUUGUAGGGCCUAAUAAAUGAAUGAAAAUACUAUAGCCUGUGUUCUUAGAAAUAAUCGUUCUAUUUAUUAUAAUUUUUUGAACUAUUCUAUGUAGUUUGAGGACGAUCCGGUAGAUGAACUGAUGCCCUGGCUGGAUGGGGAUGCUGUGGAGAAUGUCCAUGUUAAUAGGGACGAUUCAUAUGCUAUUGACGGCAAACGGUGUUCAGCUGUGGCUGAUACUGUUGGUCUCAAAGGCCGGGCGGUUCUAGUGUUAAACGAGCUAAUGUUGUAGUUUUUGACAGGAAAUGUCUCCCAUUGACCGUUUGAUUAGAUUUAUUUUAGUGUUAAUACUUUAUUAAUAUAACUCCUUCUGAAUUCUUUCCAUCUUUAGGCCUGGUAGGAGACCCAGAGGAUUCCUGUCGUUCAUGUCCAAUAAGCCCCUCACACCUGCCUCCUCUGCCCCUGCUCGAGGUCCCAGAGCAGCCGCUCAGAGGCCCCAGGUCAACACCAACCGCACUGGGGGGAAACGGGCUGACUCCGCUCCCUCCUCCGUCAGAGCCAUGCCUGCACGUUUCACCAGCCCCACUAGAACCACCAUUAAGCCUGACGGUUCCCCGACGGUGACCUGGGGAAAACCCUCUGAUGUUCAAACCACCAAAUCAGACCCAGAGCCCAGUACCUCCCAGGGUACAGCUUCCCAGCCUUCUCAGGGGCCAGAUGGCCAGCCCAGUGCCUCUCCCUGUGUGGACAGCUACUCAACAGACGAGGAACCCAUCAACGUGUCCCAGUACUUUUUCAGUGACAUCUUCACUGAGGUUGAGGAGAAUGAGGGGUGACCGGAAAGAUAACAAGGCAUCUUUUAAUUCAUUGAACCGAGCUGAAGAACAAACUGCUAAAAAGUACUUGAAGAUUUUUGGAUGUAGCACUAAAAUCACAUCGCUUUGUGGUUAUGCUAACAAGGUUUCUGGUUUGCGGUGAAUAUAUUUGGCCACUAGAUGGCCACAAAACAGAACUUAAGACGAUUAUUUCAGAAGAAAACACUUUUUUUGUCCUGCUUAGGAACUUUGCUCUAAUUUGUGCACCUUUGCUAUAAUAAUAUCUUGAAUCAUAUUCAGACAACUUUGUAUCCUAAUAACAUAUUUAUAUUUAUUUGGUUUUAUUUCUUUUAAACCACUUAGGUAGACAUUAACAAUUCAAACUCACUUCUAUAGCACUCGCCAGUUUUGCAGUUUGCUCAGGGACUUUCAAAUUCAUAUUUGAGUUCUUUUUUUAUAGGUUUGCUGUUAGUCACAUGAUCACGCCAUUGAAUUUGCCAAGUUUCUCCAAAAACAAACAGGCUUUAAGUUAUCUCACUGGUUCUAAAAUUGAUCUCAACCUUUCUCAGACAAACUGCAUCACCGCCAAUCACAAUCCAAAUCAAAAUAAUUCAUCACUGAUCGCAAUCUCAGUUUUAAUAGGCUAGAAUAGGUUGUCACUCUUAGUGUCUGCUAAACCAAUAAUUUGUAAGGAGGGACUUUCCAGGUGGAAAGAGAUUACAGAUGAUCAUGUGACUGGAGUGCUCUGUUAAAGCAUGUUUACAUUUACAUACGAAGCCCUUGUCUUACAGUGAACAUUGUGUAAAUAUGUUAAUUAUAAUUUAGAUCAGAUAUAUUGCAGGGGGGAUUUUGGUGCAUGAAAAAGACUUGUUGUGCAGCUUCACAAUGUUUAUUAAAUGCUGCCUGAUGACACUGUUUACAGAGUCCUCAUUUAAUCAAUGUACCGCUACAACAAAUGCACUAGUCCAUUUUCAGUUCUCAAAUUUUUUGUUUUCAAAUUAGCAUAGCUGUUAUGUUGCUAAUGUAAAAUAUGUGAAUAAAGUUGUGUAUGUGAAUGUCUGCUUUAUGUUGAAUGCCUUCCUUAAACAGUUGUUAAAG